rnacentral:lncRNA from 1 species
UGAUGAAAAUGUGCUUAGUUAGUUAGUAAGAGGAAAAACAUGUGUAUUAGUAUAAGCACAAACCAUUUAUGAGGUUAUAUAUUUGUUAUUUUUCGUGUUUUUCUAUUCAUAUUAAUAGUUAUCGUACUCUUCAUGUCAUGUUUAAAUAGUGUCUCCGCACAAUUUGAUACAUGCAAAUGAUAUAUUGUGACUGAACAGAGCACA